CUUCAGGAAAUACCCAGCUCCUUCAGCUCCUUUUCACCGAGAUCCUCCAGAGAUUGCAGUGUGAAUAUCUGCUCGGGCAUGGUUCUCUCCAAGGGCUGCAGAAAUAUACCAGCUUCACCAAGGUGUCUCCACCAGCUCCAGUGAAACUUCUGCUCCUGCAUCUGUAGCACCUCUUCCCACUCCUUCUCUGACAUUGAUAUCUACAGGACAUGUUUUCUGCAUUUUAUCAGUUCAUCUCAAAAUGGAGACGGGACCAUACGAUAACACAGAGGGGAGGGUCCUCUGGAGGUUUCUGUUCCACAACCCAGCAUUGUGCACAAAAUCGGUUAAGGACUGCUACUCCAGGCACUUUGGUGGUGGUGCAACUGGCUCCAGCCAGUCUGUCUCCUGAGGAGAACUCAACCAACCAGCUGCGGCGGUCAGCAACCGAAGUUUAGCACGUAGCUUGCAGUCAUGGAGUAAGCCUGCGUGGAACGCAUACGGAGAGUCCCCUCUCUUUACUUCUUUGCCUCUGCUACUGGGCACUUACUCGACCAGCUUAGAGGGAAGCUCCCUCGGGUGAGGAGCUCAGCUCCAUCAGGCUGCUUUACUUGUGGGUGUGGGACUGCCGUAGCAUGGACGGGACCAUGGCUAGACCUCCGGGCCCCUUUUUAGCUAGCAUGCAGAUAUCUGUCACACUUUAUUUUUUGAUGGGUAUUGGUAGUCAUUGUUCGUUGGUAUCAAUGCUGUAAGGAAUAUGGCUUUCUCAAAACAAUAGCAAGAUGGUUUCAAGUGCUCAGGUUUUUCCAGAUAAUUCAGUCAGUACGUUUUCAUGUUGAAUUAUGCUAAUGAUAAUAAAAAACUCAGUUUGAUGGAAUGAAACUGUGAUUUCAACAGUGUGUGUGUGUGUGUGUGUUGUGUGUGCAUGUGCCAUUGCUUGCUCAGAAAAUCAGAUGUUUCAUAGAAUCAUAGAAUAUCCGGAGCUGAAAGGGACCCACAAAGAA